GCCGUUGAAGCGCAUAAUUUGGAGGGAAGGUAUAAGGAAUCAACUUCAUGAGGCGUUGUGUAAAGUCUUUUCAUCACGCUUGCUCGUAACAGGUGUAUUACCUACACGUAGGCGAUGCGGUCCGUAAAUCCUCAAUUUCGACCUAGGGCUGUAAUAUAGUCGUCGGCGGCUCAAUAUGUUUUUCUUUGGUCAACUCGCUGAAGCAGAGGCAUAGAAAUCUAAGAAAAAACUAUCCAAAUCCAUACCACCCGGAUGACGACCAACUUACGAAGCUGAUGGAUUUCUCCUCAGAGGACAGCGACUACUUCGUUGAAAGAUUCGGUAAACUUAGCGAGGAUUCCGGGGAAGGGACGAUAAUAAUUAACAAGAAUCUGAAAGUAAACGGACGACAUUACAGUUUGAAGAAGUCCGAUGAUGCUGUGGAUGAUGUUGUGGAACGCUUAAAAGUAAAACGACGGAAACAUUAUUGAAUACCAUUGUUUUUUAUUACUUACCUUUCUUACUAUAUCAACUGAACUAGUAAAAUUAACCGCAUCGUUUUUAAGUGGCCCUCUGGCACACACAAUCAAUUUGUCUUUUAGUCAUGGCUAUUUUCCUGAGCAGUUAAAGACAUCUAUUAUAAAACCGAUAUAUAAACAAGGAGAACGUAACGAUCUCGGAAAUUAUAGACCAAUAACAAUUGUCCCGAUACUGUCUAAAAUAGUGGAAAAAGCCUUUUGUGUCAGAUUAGAUAGCUUUUUAACAAAACAUAACAUCCUACAUCCUGAUCAAUACGGCUUCCGAAAAGGUCUUAACACAGAACUGGCAUGUUUUGAAUUUAUUAAAUAUAUAACUGAAUCUAUCAAUAAUAAAUCACCUGUUAUGUCCAUAUUCCUUGAUAUGACAAAAGCGUUUGACCUUGUAGAUCAUUCAAAGCUGCUUAAAAAAUUAGACAAUUACGGAAUUAGAGGUCAAACAAAUGACUGGCUUAGAUCUAAUUUAACUAAUAGCACACCCCGGACCCGGACACUGGCGAUCAAAUGUAUGAAACAAACGCGUUCCUACGCACACAGUCUAAGCUCGUGUAGGUGAACGCGUACCAUGCUUGUGUGAGUGAGAUAAGACGUGCUAGGGUUCCCGCCAUUUUGUUGACAAGUUCGAUGACCUCAAUGACCCAAAACUCAUUGCGCGAAUUAGGAAGAAAUAUAAGAAUCAUAAUUAUUAUGCUGUAAGGUGGGUAUCUAAGCUCGAUUUAUACAAUAGUUUCCUAUUUUGAAUCAGUAUAAACGAAGUAACAAAAUUUUUGUAAGGAAAUUCAGGCCACCAAAAUAUUACGUAAGUUGAAAACAUGAUUUUUUGUUCAUAUAGAUAUUGUGUUGUUUUCAGUGUGAUCUGAUAGGUUUAGGUCUAAAACAGAUAGGGUAAAAGAAAUACUAAACAUAAGUACCUAUUGUAAGUUGGUAUUCUACUAAAACAUAAAACACUUUAAAAAUAA